rnacentral:rRNA from 1 species
CCUACGGGAGGCAGCAGUGGGGAAUAUUGGGCAAUGGGCGCAAGCCUGACCCAGCAACGCCGCGUGAAGGAAGAAGGCUUUCGGGUUGUAAACUUCUUUUGUCAGGGAAGAGUAGAAGACGGUACCUGACGAAUAAGCCACGGCUAACUACGUGCCAGCAGCCGCGGUAAUACGGAGGUGGCAAGCGUUGUCCGGAUUUACUGGGUGUAAAGGGCGUGUAGCCGGGUUGACAAGUCAGAUGUGAAAUCCUGUGGCUUAACCGACGAACUGCAGUUGAAACUGUUGAUCUUGAGUAUUGGGAAGGCAGAUGGAAUACCUGGUGUAGCGGUGAAAUGCGUAGAUAUUAGGAGGAACACCAGUGGCGAAGGCGGUCUGCUGGACAGCAACUGACGGUGAGGCGCGAAAGCGUGGGGAGCAAACAGGAUUAGAUACCCGAGUAGUC